rnacentral:rRNA from 1 species
UACGGAAGGCAGCAGUGGGGAAUAUUGCACAAUGGGCGCAAGCCUGAUGCAGCCAUGCCGCGUGUAUGAAGAAGGCCUUCGGGUUGUAAAGUACUUUCAGUCGUGAGGAAGGUGUUAAGGUUAAUAACCUUAGCAAUUGACGUUAGCGACAGAAGAAGCACCGGCUAACUCCGUGCCAGCAGCCGCGGUAAUACGGAGGGUGCGAGCGUUAAUCGGAAUUACUGGGCGUAAAGGGCACGCAGGCGGUUAAUUAAGUUGGAUGUGAAAUCCCCGGGCUUAACCUGGGAAUGGCAUUCAAGACUGGUUAGCUAGAGUCUUGUAGAGGGGGUAGAAUUCCAUGUGUAGCGGUGAAAUGCGUAGAGAUGUGGAGGAAUACCGGUGGCGAAGGCGGCCCCUGGACAAAGACUGACGCUCAUGUGCGAAAGCGCGGGGAGCAAACAGGGAUUAGAUACC